rnacentral:rRNA from 1 species
AACGAACGCUGGCGGCAGGCUUAACACAUGCAAGUCGAACGCAUCCUUCGGGGUGAGUGGCAGACGGGUGAGUAACGCGUGGGAACGUGCCCUUCAGUUCGGGAUAACCCAGGGAAACUUGGGCUAAUACCGGAUACGUGCGAGAGCAGAAAGAUUUAUCGCUGAAGGAUCGGCCCGCGUCUGAUUGGCUAGUUGGUGGGGUAAUGGCCCACCAAGGCGACGAUCAGUAGCUGGUCUGAGAGGAUGAGCAGCCAAAUUGGGACUGAGACACGGCCCAAACUCCUACGGGAGGCAGCAGUGGGGAAUAUUGGACAAUGGGCGCAAGCCUGAUCCAGCCAUGCCGCGUGAGUGAUGAAGGCCUUAGGGUUGUAAAGCUCUUUCGUCCGGGACGAUAAUGACGGUACCGGAAGAAGAAGCCCCGGCUAACUUCGUGCCAGCCGCCGCGGUAA